GUUUUAUCUCAUUCAAGCGUUUCCAAACAUAAGCUGAAAGAAGGAAGCUGUGAUAUUUGACAGGUUACUGCUAAGCCACAUGUAAAGAUGAGCGUCCCAGACUACAUGCAGUGUGCAGAGGACCACCAGACAGUCCUGGUGGUGGUCCAACCAGUUGGCAUUGUACCUGAGGACCAGUUCUUCAAGAUCUACAAACGUAUUGCCAGUGUGAGUCAGGUGAGCAUCAGAGAUUCGCAGCGCCUCCUCUACAUCCGCUACCGCCACCACUACCUACCCGAAAACAACGAAUGGGGAGACUUCCAGACUCAUCGCAAGGUUGUAGGCCUCAUUGCCAUUACAACAUGCAACUCUGCUAAAGAGUGGCCCCAGACUGCAGAACGCUUCCACGGUCAGAAGGAGGUGUACAGCUCCACGUUGUACGACUCCCGCCUGCUGGUGUUUGGACUGCAGGGGGAGAUUGCAGAGCAGCAGCGCACAGAUGUGGCCUUUUACCCAAGCUUUGAAGACUGCUCUGAUGUGGAGAAGAGAGUGGAGGACUUUGUAGAAUCCAUUUUUAUUGUGCUGGAGUCCAAAAGGCUCGACAGGGCCACGGAUAAAUCUGGUGACAAGAUCCCGCUGCUGUGUGUGCCCUUUGAGAAGAAGGACUUUGUGGGUUUGGACACCGACAGCAGUCCUGUGAGUUUAUUGUUGGGUGUGAAAAGGCAUUAUAAGAAGCGUUGCCAGGGACGGAUGAGGAAGCAUGUUGGGGACUUGUGUCUCCAGGCGGGCAUGCUGCAGGACGCCCUGGUCCACUACCACAUGGCUGUGGAGCUGCUCAGGGGGGUUAAUGACUUCCUCUGGCUGGGUGCUGCGUUGGAGGGUUUGUGUUCGGCUUCUGUCAUAUUCCACUACCCCGGAGGAACAGCAGGGAAGACAAUCGGACGCAAGCCAAGCAUCUCACAGGCAGCAGAUGCAGGGAAACGCCACCGACCAGGGGCUCAGGAGGUUCUCAUUGACCCAGGUGCCCUCACAGCCAACGGCAUCAGUGCAGACACCAGCACUGAGAUUGGACGAGCAAAGAACUGCCUGAGCCCUGAAGACAUUAUCGAGAAAUACAAAGAGGCCAUCUCCUACUAUGGAAAGUAUAAGAACGCAGGUGUGAUCGAGCUGGAGGCCUGUGUGAAGGCAGUCCGGGUGUUGGCCAUUCAGAAGAGGGCCAGAGAGGCCUCGGAGUUCCUGCAGAACGCUGUCUACAUCAACCUGGGACAGCUGUCAGAGGAGGAGAAGAUCCAGCGCUACAGCAUCCUGUCAGAGCUCUACGAACUGAUCGGCUUCCAUCGAAAGUCGGCCUUCUUCAAGCGUGUGGCGGCCAUGCAGUGCGUGGCUCCCACCAUCCCAGAGCCAGGCUGGAGGGCCUGCUACAAACUGCUGCUGGAGACUUUGCCCGGAUACAGUCUCUCGCUGGAUCCUAAGGACUUCAGCAAAGGUACCCACAGAGGAUGGGCGGCUGUGCAGAUGCGCCUUCUGCAUGAACUGGUGUACGCCUCCCGCCGCAUGGGCAACCCCGGCCUGUCCGUCCGCCACCUGUCCUUUCUUCUGCAGACCAUGCUUGACUUCCUGUCCGAUCAAGAGAAGAAGGAAGUGACCCAGAGUCUGGAGAACUACACCUCUAAGUGUCCAGGUGGAAUGGAGGUCAUCACCCUUCCUGAUGGCCUGAAACUGCCUCCAGUGCCCUUCACAAAGCUCCCCAUUGUUCGAUCAGUGAAGCUCCUGAAUCUGCCCGUCAGUCUGCGGCCUCACAAAGUGAAAGGCCUGCUGGGACAGAAUAUUUCCACUGCCAGUCCCUUCAUCUACUCGCCCAUAAUCAUGCACAACAGAGGAGAUGAGCGCUGUAAGAAGAUCGACUUCCAGUGGGUUCAGGGAGAUGUGUGUGAGGUCCAGCUCAUGGUCUACAAUCCCAUGCCUUAUGAACUCAGAGUGGAGAACAUGGGUUUGCUGACCUCUGGAGUGGAGUUUGAGUCCCUGCCUGCUGCGUUGUCACUGCCCGCCGAGUCUGGCCUGUACCCCGUCACUCUGGUUGGCGUCCCGCGUACAGCUGGCAACAUCACUGUCAACGGUUACCACACGUCAGUGUUCGGUGUGACCAGUGAUUGUCUCUUGGAGAGUCUCCCGAACGUCAAGACUAGUGGUUGUUUGGUCGAGGUCAUUCCCUCCCUGCCUCGUCUUCAGCUCAGCACUUCACUACCACGGUCAGCACACACUCCUCAGUCCAAAGAAGAACUGUCCAGCUCUGUGUCCGUCCAGCUUUUCAACGGAGAAACUCAACAGCUGACCAUCACUUUAGAGAACAUAGGGUCUGAGGACAUCGAGAGUCUGGAGCUCACAUCUAAGAUCGUCAACACUAAAGAGAAAGUGUUCGGGGAGUUUCUGAGCUGGGACUUGGAGGACGCUGUGUCUCACCUGCCUCUGAAGCCGGGCCAGGCUGUCACACUCACUGUCUGCAUCAAAGUCAAGCUGGAUUUCUCUGGACAGGAGAACCUGCUGCAGGACCUUAAUGAUGAUGGGAUCAGUGUGACCGGUUUGCCGAUCUCCAGCCCACUGCGCCAAGUCCUCAAACCCAGGCCCGAAACCAAAUCAGUUGGCGGCGAGUCUGGAAAGGCAGAGUACAGCCACACAAAGAUUUUGGAAGCGGUGCUCAACUUCAAGUACUCUGGGGGAACAGGUAAAGUGGAGGGAUACUACAGGGAGCUGUCUCUGGGAGUUCAUGUGGAUGUGGAGCCCUCUGUGUUCUUCACUAGAGUCAGCACACUCCCAGCAACCAGCACCCGUCAGUGUCACCUUCUGCUCGACAUUUUCAACCCAACAGAGCAUGAGCUCACUGUCAGCGCCAAGAACAACCAGGACCUGGUUCUGCACGCCAGCGAGUGCCAGAGGAUGGCCAUCCAGGUGGAUAAGUUUGACUUUGAGAGCCUGCCACAGCCGGACCAGGAGACUGUACGCUUUGCUAACCCCAAACAGCUGGAAGAGGAGCGACAGCAUGCUCAAGGCUGCCAGAUCAACAGCAAGCUGGGCAUCUGCUGGAGUAUCCCGUCUCUCCGUCGUCAAGGAGAAGCCAGUGUGGAGGGAGUCCUCAACCAGCUGGUCCUGGAGCACCUGCAGCUGGCUCCGCUGCAGUGGGAUGUGUUGGUGAAUGGGAAGCCAUGUGACUGUGACGUCAUUGCUGAAUGUAAAGUAGGCGAUGCUGUGACCCUGGAGGUAAAACUCACCAAUAUGAGCAAGAACUCCGUCGGCCCGCUGGCCCUGACUGUGGUGCCGUAUCAAGACUUCCAAAACGGGGUCCAGAACUACGAUCUGGAAGAUGCUGUCACUUUCAUCGGCUCCAACACCUUCCACAUUGACACGGUUCAACCCAAGGAAAGUUCCGUCUGUGUCGGCGCCCUGCUCUUCCUCUACACUGGAGAUUUCUACCUUAACAUCAAGUUCCAGGACGACAGCGCUGGACGGGAGCUUCCUUUAGCCUGGUUCACUCUGCCCAGCGUUCACGUCAGAGCCCUGGAUACUCUGCUGCAGGCCGGGGCAUGAAGGCCUCCACGCUGAACGGAGAAUCAAAUGUUAAACUGUUGAUCAUACAUGUAAAUACCUUACAAAUUAAAGUUCAUGUAAAUACUAUUUGCUAUGGCAUCUAUACAGUGGCUCAUACGUUGUCUCCAUAACACCAGAACCCUUUCAGUCCUUUAUCCAUUAAAUAACAUCAACAUUUGUUACAGUUGUAUUUUGGACUAGAUUUACAACGUUGUGCAAAGAUCUUAGGCCACCAGCAAGAAUAAAAUGACCCUACUGUCUUGUCAAUAUGUAUAUCUCGAUGUCUGUAUUAGUAUAGGUACAAGGAGACAUAUGUAAAACAGCAUUAAAAACAAAAAUUCAUUUCAUAAAAAAAAAAAAGAAAAAAAAGAAUAUUAUUGCAUCUUGACAGAGAAAAGAAUAAAUGACAGAACUCUGGGACAUUAUGAGGUAAAAUAAACCACAAAAUUAUUUUAAAAUUUUUUUCCAAAAACAGUCGACGCAAGAGAGCAAAAUAUCUACUAAAUCCAAUACAGGUCAUACUAAAUAUUGACUUUUAUCUGGAAGACAUUUGGUCCAUUUAGAUCAGGGUUAUGUUUUGUGUUUCAGUGCUGUGUGCAUAGAUCCUGUAUUUAUUUCUUCAAUCUUAAUAAACAGACUGAGGAAUAAAGAUGUUUGUUCAUUAUAACCCUGUAAAACCAACACAGCUAACAGUGGCCUUAGACAUUUGCACAGUAAUGUAGAUAACACUGGAUAAUAUGUGGAAGAAAAGUACAUUUAGUCCCUGUUUUCUGUCACCAAAGACCAAACCGAGCCAAAAUAGUUAAUUAUGUUUUGAGCUUUUUCAUGUUCGCCAGUUUUACGUCCACAGCUGCCAUAAAAUAGAUGCUCUUUUUUUGCAAUUAAUUGUAAAAUUAUACAAAUGUGUUUAUUUGUUUGAAUGACUGAUUUGCUUUAGCUUUGGCUAUAGCUAGUUUGCUUAGCGCUUAUUAGCUACCUUGGCUAGCUUUUAGCUGUUACUAGCUAGCAGAACUGAACAUAUCAAAUAAGUUUUUCUUGACCUCCAACUUUUGUUCUUUAAAACUUUUCUGAAAAGAGCUUUAACAUAAACAUCACAUAUUUUGUUGAAGUCUGUUUUAUACCUAGAGCUGGCUGUUUGUUGACGUUAGCUAGCACCAUGGCUAAGCUAACAAAUGAUGGAUAACGUCAACAGAAGACAACACAAGUAUGAGUGCACAUCCAUAUCAUAUACACUGAACCUUUUUCACACACAGUGCCAUUUAUAUAAUAUAUUCCUGCCACCUGCUAUGUCCUUAAUAAAAAUAUCUGUGCAAAGAGAAGAAAACGUUAGCAUUAAGCUAAAGACGGCUGAACACUUAAUGAAGGAAAACACUGGAAACUUUAAUUUGUUGUGCAAGUCAUUUCUACUUUUUUUUUUUUUUUUUUUUAAUUGCUGAAUGGAUAUUUUCUUUUGGCUCUGUGCUGCGACACUGAGAUAGAUCUAAGUUUUGUUUUUAGAUAGAAAUGAUCCUCCUGUCUGUCACAUUAUUGCUGUAAAUAAAUGUUCAAA